rnacentral:rRNA from 1 species
GUAGGUGGCAAGCGUUGUCCGGGAAUUAUUGGGGCGUAAAGCGCGCGCAGGCGGUUCCUUAAGUCUGAUGUGAAAGCCCCCCGGGCUCAACCGGGGGAGGGUCAUUGGAAACUGGGGAACUUGAGUGCAGAAGAGGAGAGCGGAAUUCCACGUGUAGCGGUGAAAUGCGUAGAGAUGUGGAGGAACACCAGUGGCGAAGGCGGCUCUCUGGUCUGUAACUGACGCUGAGGCGCGAAAGCGCGGGGAGCGAACAGGAUUAGAUACCCUGGUAGUCCACGCCGUAAACGAUGAGUGCUAAGUGUUAGAGGGUUUCCGCCCUUUAGUGCUGCAGCAAACGCAUUAAGCACUCCGCCUGGGGAGUACGGCCGCAAGGCUG